UACGGUCAUAACACGUUGAAACAUCGGUUCUCAUACGAUCACCGAAGUUAAGCAACGGUCAGUACCUAGAUGGGUGACCGCUUAGGAAUACCAGGUGCUGUAA